rnacentral:rRNA from 1 species
GGGAGUCUGAACCCUGAGGCGCACGGGUGCGUAUCGCGGGGGAUCUGCCCUUGGGUUCGGAAUAACACUUGGAACGACGGCUAAUACCGGAUGUUGCCUUCGGACCAAAAAUUUAUCGCCAGGGAUGAGCCCGCGUCGGAUUAGCUAGUUGGGGGGGUAAAGGCUCACCAAGGCGACAAUCCUUAUCUGGUCUGAGAGGAUGAUCACCCCCACUGGGACUGAGACACGGCCCACACUCCUCCGGGAGGCAGCAGUGGGGAAUAUUGGACAAUGGGGGAAAGCCUGAUCCACCCCUGCCGCGCGAGUGAUGAAGGCCUUCGGGUUGUAAAGCUCUUUUACCCGGGAUGAUAAUGACAGUACCCGGAGAAAAAGCCCCGGCUAACUCCGUGCCAGCACCCGCGGUAAUAAAGCGAAUGAUAAGCUGGAG